AGCGAACGCUGGCGGCAGGCCUAACACAUGCAAGUCGAACGGAUCCUUCGGGAUUAGUGGCGGACGGGUGAGGAACACGUGGGAACGUGCCUUUUGGUUCGGAACAACUCAGGGAAACUUGAGCUAAUACCGGAUGUGCCCUUCGGGGGAAAGAUUUAUCGCCAUUAGAGCGGCCCGCGUCUGAUUAGCUAGUUGGUGGGGUAAAGGCUCACCAAGGCUACGAUCAGUAGCUGGUCUGAGAGGAUGAUCAGCCACACUGGGACUGAAACACGGCCCAGACUCCUACGGGAGGCAGCAGUGGGGAAUCUUGCGCAAUGGGCGAAAGCCUGACGCAGCCAUGCCGCGUGAAUGAUGAAGGUCUUAGGAUUGUAAAAUUCUUUCACCGGGGACGAUAAUGACGGUACCCGGAGAAGAAGCCCCGGCUAACUUCGUGCCAGCCGCCGCGGUAAACCAGACAGCGUA
rnacentral:rRNA from 1 species